AUUGAACGCUGGCGGCAGGCCUCACACAUGCAAGUCGAACGAGUGGCGGACGGGUGAGUAAUGUCUGGGAAACUGCCCGAUGGAGGGGGAUAACUACUGGAAACGGUAGCUAAUACCGCAUACCAUCGGAUGUGCCCAGAUGGGAUUAGCUAUUAGGUGGGGUAAUGGCUCACCUAGGCGACGAUCCCUAGCUGGACGGAGCGGAUGACCAGCAACACUGGAACUGAGUCACGGGCCAGACUCCUACGCGAGGCAGCAGUGGGGAAUAUUGCACAAUGGGCGCAAGCCUGAUGCAGCCAUGCCGCGUGUAUGAAGAAGGCCUUCGGGUUGUAAAGUACUUUCAGCAGGGAGGCGUUACCCGCAGAAGAAGCACCGGCUAACUCCGUGCCAGCAACCGCGGUAAUUC
rnacentral:rRNA from 1 species